rnacentral:rRNA from 1 species
AGAUUGAACGCUGGCGGCAGGCCUAACACAUGCAAGUCGAGCGGCAGCACGGGUACCUGUACCUGGUGGCGAGCGGCGGACGGGUGAGUAAUGCCUAGGAAUCUGCCUGGUAGUGGGGGAUAACGCUCGGAAACGGACGCUAAUACCGCAUACGUCCUACGGGAGAAAGCAGGGGACCUUCGGGCCUUGCGCUAUCAGAUGAGCCUAGGUCGAUUAGCUAGUUGGUGAGGUAAUGGCUCACCAAGGCGACGAUCCGUAACUGGUCUGAGAGGAUGAUCAGUCACACUGGAACUGAGACACGGUCCAGACUCCUACGGGAGGCAGCAGUGGGAAUAUUGGACAAUGGGCGAAAGCCUGAUCCAGCCAUGCCGCGUGUGUGAAGAAGGUCUUCGGAUUGUAAAGCACUUUAAGUUGGAGAAGGCAGUUACCUAAUACGUAUCUGUUUUGACGUUACGACAGAAUAAGCACCGGCUAACUCUGUG